GUGAAUGGUGUUGGAGCGCAUGGUGUUGUUGAGUUUCAACUUGCGCUACCAUCAAGAAUGACGGAGACCCGUAAUGCACUUUUGGACUUACACACGGCAAAUGUGAGUAAAUUUAGUCUCACGUCCUCCGUAGUGGGCUUUUGGCUAGUUCCAAUAAGCGAAAGGCCACUCCGAGAUGCAAAAGUGCAUUGUACCCCCUUGUCACUCAAUAAAGAGAAUUAGAGUGUGAAUUGGGUUGAAGUGAGUGAGUUUCGGGGACGAAACUCUUAUUAAGGAGGGGAGGAUGUAAGGUACCGGACUUCUAAAACUAUGAAGUUACGGUGUAUAUUUAAAUGGUUCCGGUGAGGUUGCGGUGGAACGUAACAUACUGGAUUUUAAAUAUAAAAGUGAAAAUAAAUAAAAAUAGUAUGAGAUAUUAUUUUUAUUGGAUUUAGAGAACUGAAAUAUAAGUUGGGAAUGACCUGUGCUGAAAUCGGAGCGAAAACAGAAGAUUUAGAAUUUUCUGUAAGAAACGGGGCAGAUAAAUUAGCAGAAAAUGCAUAGUGUCAGAAAAUUAUGAAAAUUGGCAGAGAUGUCAGAAAUAUUUUUAUGAGGCUAGAUUUAAAGUUUCAUAUUUUUCUGACACCCGUAGAGUGAGAAAUAAAAUCCGAGGUUUAUUUGAUAAAGAUUACAGUUCGGCACAGUUUUCAGUGACCAAA
rnacentral:lncRNA from 1 species